rnacentral:rRNA from 1 species
UACAGAGGGUGCAAGCGUUGUUCGGAAUUAUUGGGCGUAAAGCGCGUGUAGGCGGCUUUGCAAGUCGGGUGUGAAAGCCCUCAGCUCAACUGAGGAAGUGCGCCCGAAACUGCAGAGCUUGAGUGCCGGAGAGGGUGGCGGAAUUCCCGGUGUAGAGGUGAAAUUCGUAGAUAUCGGGAGGAACACCUGUGGCGAAGGCGGCCAUCUGGACGUCAACUGACGCUGAGACGCGAAAGCAUGGGGAGCAAACAGG